UACGGAGGUGGCAAGCGUUGCUCGGAAUCACUGGGCGUAAAGAGCGUGUAGGCGGUCCGGUCAGUCGGUUGUGAAAGUCAAGGGCUCAACCCUUGAAUGCCGGCCGAUACUGCCGGGCUAGAGUCCGGAAGAGGUGAGUGGAAUUCCAGGUGUAGCGGUGAAAUGCGUAGAUAUCUGGAGGAACACCGGUGGCGAAGGCGGCAUCCUGGACCAUUACUGACACUGAAUAGCGAAAGCCGGGGGAGCAAACGGG
rnacentral:rRNA from 1 species